rnacentral:tRNA from 1 species
GCCCCCAUAGCUCAACGGAUAGAGCACUCCCGUCCUAAGGGAGAAAUGUAGGUCCAAUUCCUGCUGGGGGCA